rnacentral:rRNA from 1 species
UACGAGGGUGCAAGCGUUAAUCGGAAUUACUGGGCGUAAAGCGUGCGUAGGCGGUUCGUUAAGUCUGUUGUGAAAGCCCCGGGCUCAACCUGGGAAUGGCAAUGGAUACUGGCGAGCUAGAGUGUGUCAGAGGAUGGUGGAAUUCCCGGUGUAGCGGUGAAAUGCGUAGAGAUCGGGAGGAACAUCAGUGGCGAAGGCGGCCAUCUGGGACAACACUGACGCUGAGGCACGAAAGCGUGGGGAGCAAACAGG